GAUGAACGCUGGCGGCGUGCCUAAUACAUGCAAGUCGAGCGAACAGAUGAGGAGCUUGCUCCUCUGACGUUAGCGGCGGACGGGUGAGUAACACGUGGAUAACCUACCUAUAAGACUGGGAUAACUUCGGGAAACCGGAGCUAAUACCGGAUAAUAUAUUGAACCGCAUGGUUCAAUAGUGAAAGACGGUUUUGCUGUCACUUAUAGAUGGAUCCGCGCCGCAUUAGCUAGUUGGUAAGGUAACGGCUUACCAAGGCAACGAUGCGUAGCCGACCUGAGAGGGUGAGCGGCCCAACGGGAACUGAGACCCGGUCCAGACUCCUAGGGGAGGCAGCAGUGGGGAAUUUGCCGAAAUGGGGAAAAGCCUGACGGAGCAACGCGGGGUGGGUGAUGAAGGUUUUCGGAUCGUAAAACCCUGUUUUUGGGGAAAAAAAAAUGUGUAAGUAACUAUGCACGUUUGGACGGUACCUAAUCAGAAAGCCACGGCUAACUACGU
rnacentral:rRNA from 1 species